rnacentral:rRNA from 1 species
UCUUGGUCGUAAAUAAAUAGGAAUUUACCGGAGUACUAUGAAUUAAUUAAAUAAAAUUUAAAACUCAAAGGGCUUGGCGGUGUUUUAGACCUCUCAGGGGAACCUGUCUCAUAAUCGACAAUCCACGCUAAACCUAACCUCUAUUUGCAACUCAGUUUGUAUACCGUCGUCGUCAGGUAACUUUUUAAAAAAAAGAAGUUGGCAGAAAAAUCAGUUAAAUUUAAACGUCAGAUCAAGGUGCAGCUUAUAUAGAGGUGAGGAUGGGUUACAAUUAACAUUUAUAACUACGGAUAGGAUAAUGAAAUUAUUUUCUUAAUGAAGGAGGACUUGAAAGUAAAAUAAAUUUAUAUAAAUAUUUUGAAUAAGGCUCUGAAACGUGC